GACGAACGCUGGCGGCGUGCUUAACACAUGCAAGUCGAACGGAAAGGCCCUGCUUUUGUGGGGUGCUCGAGUGGCGAACGGGUGAGUAACACGUGAGUAACCUUCCCUUGACUUUGGGAUAACUUCAGGAAACUGGGGCUAAUACCGGAUAGGAGCUCCUGCUGCAUGGUGGGGGUUGGAAAGUUUCGGCGGUUGGGGAUGGACUCGCGGCUUAUCAGCUUGUUGGUGGGGUAGUGGCUUACCAAGGCUUUGACGGGUAGCCGGCCUGAGAGGGUGACCGGCCAAAUUGGGACUGAGAUAAGGCCCAGACUCCUACGGGAGGCAGCAGUGGGGAAUAUUGCACAAUGGGCGGAAGCCUGAUGCAGCAACGCCGCGUGCGGGAUGACGGCCUUCGGGUUGUAAACCGAUUUCGCCUGUGACGAAGCGUGAGUGACGGUAAUGGGUAAAGAAGCACCGGCUAACUACGUG
rnacentral:rRNA from 1 species